UACGGCCAUAUCACGUUGAAACAGUGGUUCUCGUCCAGUCACAGAAGUUAAGCAAUGUUGAACUUCAUCAUUACUGAGAUGGGUAGCCGCUCGGGAAGACCAGGUGCUGUAA